rnacentral:rRNA from 1 species
AACGAACGCUGGCGGCAUGCUUAACACAUGCAAGUCGAACGGUACCUUCGGGUACAGUGGCGCACGGGUGAGUAUCGCGUGGGAACCUGCCUUGGAGUACGGAAUAACUACGGGAAACUGUGGCUAAUACCGUAUAUUGCCUUCGGGUGAAAGAUUUAUCGCUCCGAGAGGGGCCCGCGUCCGAUUAGCUAGUUGGUGAGGUAAUGGCUCACCAAGGCUCCGAUCGGUAGCUGGUC